CCUACGGGGGGCUGCAGUGGGGAAUAUUGGACAAUGGGCGAAAGCCUGAUCCAGCCAUGCCGCGUGUGUGAAGAAGGCCUUCGGGUUGUAAAGCACUUUCAGUGGGGAAGAAAGCCUUGGGGCUAAUACCCUCGAGGAAGGACAUCACCCACAGAAGAAGCACCGGCUAACUCCGUGCCAGCAGCCGCGGUAAUACGGAGGGUGCGAGCGUUAAUCGGAAUUACUGGGCGUAAAGCGCGCGUAGGCGGUCUGAUAAGCCGGUUGUGAAAGCCCCGGGCUCAACCUGGGAACGGCAUCCGGAACUGUCAGGAUAGAGUGCAGGAGAGGAAGGUAGAAUUCCCGGUGUAGCGGUGAAAUGCGUAGAGAUCGGGAGGAAUACCAGUGGCGAAGGCGGCCUUCUGGACUGACACUGACGCUGAGGUGCGAAAGCGUGGGUAGCAAACAGGAUUAGAUACCCGUGUAGUC
rnacentral:rRNA from 1 species